rnacentral:rRNA from 1 species
GUUUGAGAGGAUCUGACCCUAGUACGAGAGGACCGGGUUGGACGAACCUCUGGUGUGCCAGUUGUUCUGCCAAGAGCACCGCUGGUUAGCUACGUUCGGGAUGGAUAACCGCUGAAAGCAUCUAAGCGGGAAGCCGGCCUCAAGAUGAGAUUUCCAUACCUUCGGGUGAGAGGCUCCCAGCCAGACUACUGGGUUGAUAGGCCGGAUGUGGAAGCGUGGUAACACGUGAAGCUGACCGGUACUAAUAAGCCGAUGACUUGAUAAC